AUAUUUACUUUACAAGAGGCUACAUUCUUCAACUAAAAGGGUCUGAUAAAAAGGUGUUACAGUUCACAGUGUGUGGAUAAUGAAGUCGAGCCGCAACGAAGCACACUCUGUUCUUCGAUAAUGAUCCUUCCGCAGGUUCACCUACGGAAA
rnacentral:misc_RNA from 1 species